GACGAACGCUGGCGGCGUGCUUAACACAUGCAAGUCGAACGGAAAGGCCCUGCUUUUGUGGGGUGCUCGAGUGGCGAACGGGUGAGUAACACGUGAGUAACCUGCCCUUGACUUUGGGAUAACUUCAGGAAACUGGGGCUAAUACCGGAUAGGAGCUCCUGCUGCAUGGUGGGGGUUGGAAAGUUUCGGCGUUUGGGGAUGUAGUCGCGGCUUAUCAGCUUGUUGGUGGGGUAGUGGCUUACCAAGGCUUGGACGGGUAGCCGGCCUGGAAGGGUGACCGGCCCCAUGGGACUUAGGUACGGCCCAGGAGUCAAACGGAGGCAAGAGGUGGGAAAUUUACACAAUGGGCGGAAGCCUGAUGCAGCAACGCCGCGUGCGGGAUGACGGCCUUCGGGUUGUAAACCGCUUUCGCCUGUGACGAAGCGUGAGUGACGGUAAUGGGUAAAGAAGCACCGGCUAACUACGUG
rnacentral:rRNA from 1 species